rnacentral:piRNA from 1 species
UCAGAGAACAGGUCAAGGAAAUGCCACGC